AUGGCUGUCGUCAGCUCGUGUCGUGAGAUGUUGGGUUAAGUCCCGCAACGAGCGCAACCCUUACUUUUAGUUGCUACCAUUAAGUUGGGCACUCUAAAAGAACUGCCAGUGAUAAGCUGGAGGAAGGUGGGGAUGACGUCAAGUCCUCAUGGCCCUUACGUGUUGGGCUACACACGUGCUACAAUGGUACUUACAAUGAGAUGCUAAGAGGCGACUCUAAGCCAAUCCCAAAAAGGUACCUCAGUUCGGAUUGUACUCUGCAACUCGAGUACAUGAAGCUGGAAUUACUAGUAAUCGUGGAUCAGCGCGCCACGGUGAAUACGUUCCCGGGUCUUGUACACACCGCCCGUCACACCAUGGAAGUUGGUUACACCUUAAGGCAAAGCAUAAAACCUUUGACUACGGUACGAUCAGCGACUGGGGUGAAGUCGUAACAAGGUAGCCGUAGGGGAACCUGCGGCUGGAUCACCUCCUUAACCUAAAGCAUCUACUGCAAGCACUCACAACCUAUUGUUUGAUUCCACGUCAUUAGUGACUCGUUAGUCGCUGUUGGCGCCUGUGCAUAGACAUCAGAAGUCAGAAGACCCUGAGAUUGAGGUUAAGUCGUACUCAAGCUGUUCUCAAAAGUCUUCUGACUUCUGGCGCUCUAGCCAGAACCGUUUCUUCGGAAACAAGUCUGUUGGCAGCCCCAACAGGUGUUCUUUAAAAAAGUGUAUAAGUGAUAAAGCAAUUUUCCUGCGGAAAAUUGCCCCGAGCAAAGCCGAGGGGCCUCUACCAUGAGAAACCACGACCUGCUCGAAGGCAAAAACCAAAGGGAAAUUAGUAAAGUCUGUAAUCAGAAGAUGUUGUGAUGACAUCAGCUGUUUACAAAAUUUGACAUCCGCAAAUGAGUCGGCGAACGCAAGUUCAAUGACCAGGACAAGACCUUUUGCCAGGUCGAGUCUUGUUAAGAGAUGUUCUUUAAUAUCAGCAGUGUUAAUUCAAACGCGCACUGGUGGUAUGGCUCUUUAACACACUGCUUCGCAGUGUCGCUCUGGGCAGAGGGAACUGAUCUUCAUUUGUUUUUUUAAAUUCAAGAUCACGUUGAAGACAAGAAGCCAGGUUGUAAAACUUGAACUUCAAAUCUGAAAAGUGAUCGAGAGUUCGUAUAUUUCAAGCGUAUUAUCCGGUGAAAAACCAAUAGCUUUGAGCAGUCUCUGGCUCACAAAAGGUGAGAGACGUUAAGUUUCCUGAAUAACACUCCGUUAUCCAGGUCGUUCAAGUUAUAUGGUCAAGCGAAUAAGCGUAUAUGGUGGAUGCCUAGGCAGUUAGAGGCGAUGAAGGACGUUGUAGUCUGCGAUAAGCUCGGGCGAGCUGACAAACAAGCAUUUGUAACCCGAGAUUUCCGAAUGGGGAAACCCGG
rnacentral:sRNA from 1 species